GGUAUUGCUAAUUUUAGACCUUGUAGUCAAGUGGCAUAGUCCAACAUCACCCAUCUUUGUGAAGUUAACUUUGCACUUUCUAGUUCUGCUUUACUCUGUUUUUCCUGCUUGGUUUUUUAUCUCUUCUGUUCAACUAUUUUCUUGACUCGUUGCAUGUGAUAAAUGGGAAACUCUCUGAAGCUCAAGAAUCUGAAAGGGAAAAUCUAAGGACUUAGUGGAUUCUAGUUUCUGAAAAGAGAUCUAGAGAUAAAAAAGGAAAAA